GAAUGUGGUGAGGUCUCUGUGUGUGGUGGGUUGAAUGAAGUGUUAUCUCAUAAGUCUCAGAUAUUUGAAUACUGUUUGCAAUGCAUGAGGACGUGAGGAGGUGGUGUGAUCCUGGGGGUGAGCUUCAAAAGCCUCCCUCCAUCCCCUCUGUGCUCGCUCUGCUUCCUGUUUGGGGAUCAGGAUGUGAGCUCUCAGCUGUUCCAGCAUCACACCUGCCUGCUACCAUACUUCCUGCUAUCACGAUGGAUGAUGGACUGCUAUCCCUGUGGAACUGGGUCAGUAACUUGAUGGAAGCCCAGGUCUCGGAAGGCUUGUGAAGUCCAUGAUGAUCACAGGAGGGGCAAAGAGAGAAGUUGCAGAUUUGGCUGUGGUGACCUUCCAAGGCCUGGGAGUCAGAGAGUGACUGCUUCUUCUGAAGAUGAAGGGAAGCCGUAGACUCAUUCAGAUAAGACAGGGUCUCCUCUCUCUGACCCUCGGGCUCCAGUGUGAUCUAUGCCCUCUGGAGUCAAACUCUUAAUUGACUGCUUUGUGUCCUGGGAAGGCGUUGACCUCUUUUCCCUCAGAAGGAUCUGAGCAGCUGUCUCUGAGGCAUUUUUUUCCCCUUAGCUCCUCCUCCUCCCUUGAGGAGUUAGCAUAAACAGCAUCAUCUUGGAGGCCUUCCUUGAUGACUUACUUAGAGACAGGAAUCCUGGUGAUUCCUGUUAGAGGCACCUGCUAAUUGCCAUCACUGCAUUUCCCGUAAGCGGUCCUGAUUCUCUGUGUGCUGUGUGUUUGGCUGUUUGUUUGUUUGUUUGUUUGUUUUCCCACUGGAGUGUAAAAAGUCAGGAAGUGUUCAAAAACAUUUCUUAAAUAAAGCAAUCUGGUCAA
ensembl:lincRNA Gm4208 predicted gene 4208